AUUUUGCAGGAACUGUAUGCCAAGAGGAUUAAGUAAAGCAGCAGGAUGAUUUCACAAGGAUAAUAAGCCAUGUUUAUAGAGGAGGGCAGAGGAUAAAAAACCAAAAGAAAAGAAUGAACCAAAGAGUAUGAGAACAAAUUAUGUGCCUGCACUCUAUGAGAAGCCCUUAGGUGCUGUCAUAAUAAGGUCAUUGGCUCAGUCUUACCCAUUCAUCUGAAGCUGAAAUAACGGUUCAACAUUGAAGACAGAAAUUGAAACUGAAAUUUCAACCACAUGAGUUUGCUGAUCUUAGACACUUAAAUCUUUGUGAUACAAAAGGAAAAGGACUUCUUGUGUUUGUCAGAGA